rnacentral:rRNA from 1 species
GAUGAACGCUUGCGGGAGGCCUAACACAUGCAAGCCGAGCGGUAUUGUUUCUUCGGAAAUGAGAGAGCGGCGUACGGGUGCGGAACACGUGUGCAACCUGCCUUUAUCUGGGGGAUAGCCUUUCGAAAGGAAGAUUAAUACUCCAUAAUAUAUUGAACGGCAUCGUUUAAUAUUGAAAGCUCCGGCGGAUAGAGAUGGGCACGCGCAAGAUUAGCUAGUUGGUGAGGUAACGGCUCACCAAGGCGAUGAUCUUUAGGGGGCCUGAGAGGGUGAUCCCCCACACUGGUACUGAGACACGGACCAGACUCCUACGGGAGGCAGCAGUGAGGAAUAUUGGUCAAUGGGUGCAAGCCUGAACCAGCCAUCCCGCGUGAAGGACGACUGCCCUAUGGGUUGUAAACUUCUUUUGUAUAGGGAUAAACCUACCCUCGUGAGGGUAGCUGAAGGUACUAUACGAAUAAGCACCGGCUAACUCCGUGCCAGCAGCCGCGGUAAUACGGAGGGUGCAAGCGUUAUCCGGAUUUAUUGGGUUUAAAGGGUCCGUAGGCGGACUUAUAAGUCAGUGGUGAAAGCCUGUCGCUUAACGAUAGAACUGCCAUUGAUACUGUAAGUCUUGAGUAUAUUUGAGGUAGCUGGAAUAAGUAGUGUAGCGGUGAAAUGCAUAGAUAUUACUUAGAACACCAAUUGCGAAGGCAGGUUACCAAGAUAUAACUGACGCUGAGGGACGAAAGCGUGGGGAGCGAACAGGAUUAGAUACCCUGGUAGUCCACGCCGUAAACGAUGCUAACUCGUUUUUGGGCUUUAGGGUUCAGAGACCAAGCGAAAGUGAUAAGUUAGCCACCUGGGGAGUACGCUCGCAAGAGUGAAACUCAGAGGAAUUGACGGGGGCCCGCACAAGCGGUGGAUUAUGUGGUUUAAUUCGAUGAUACGCGAGGAACCUUACCAAGACUUAAAUGAGAAUUGACAGCUUUAGAAAUAGAGCUUUCUUCGGACAAUUUUCAAGGUGCUGCAUGGUUGUCGUCAGCUCGUGCCGUGAGGUGUUAGGUUAAGUCCUGCAACGAGCGCAACCCCUGUCACUAGUUGCCAUCAUUCAGUUGGGGACUCUAGUGAGACUGCCUACGCAAGUAGAGAGGAAGGUGGGGAUGACGUCAAAUCAUCACGGCCCUUACGUCUUGGGCCACACACGUAAUACAAUGGCCGGUACAGAGGGCAGCUACACAGCGAUGUGAUGCAAAUCUCGAAAGCCGGUCUCAGUUCGGAUUGGAGUCUGCAACUCGACUCUAUGAAGCUGGAAUCGCUAGUAAUCGCGCAUCAGCCAUGGCGCGGUGAAUACGUUCCCGGGCCU